AAAAAGAAAAAGCAUGUCCUCAGUGAUUGAGCCCAAGCCCAGGUUAAGCGGCAGGGACAGCAAGCACGGACCACACUUCCCAGCCUUCCUGAAUCCAGAAAUGUAAAUCUCUCAGUACACCCUGCCAUGCCCAAGGUCACACAGCCAGGGACGGCCACAGCCAGGGAGAGGGGAUGUAUUAGUCUGCUAAGGCUGCCAUAGCAAAAUACCCCGACUGGGCGACUUAAACAACAGACACUUAUUCUCACAAUUCUGUGUGCUGGACGUCCAGGACCAGGCUGCCAGCCGUUUGUUUUCUAGUGGGGCCUCUCUCCUCGGCUCGCAGAUGGCCACCUUCUGGCUGUGACCUCACGUGGCCUUUUCUCUGUGGACGCACGCCGCUGGUGUUUCUUCCUUUUCUUAUCAGGACACCCAUCCCAGCGGAUCACUGCUCUACCCUGCGGGCCUCAUGUUAACUUCGUCACCUCUUUAAAGGCCUCAGUCCCAAACCAAGGCUAACGGGGAUGAAAGCCUGGCCGUCUUGGCCUGACGUGGGACAAUUCUGAAGAGCCAUCCAGCUCCAGUGUUCCCUGUGGACUUGGCCGAAAAGGUCCCCGGGUCUGGAAUCACAGUCCCACUUCUUCCUUCUACGGGUGCUGGUCCCAAGGGCAUGCCCCGUAAACAUUCUGAGCUCAACUCUGUCUCAGAGUCUGCUUCCUGGGGAACCCAGCCCGUGACAGUGUUGGUUCUAACUCAUUAAACUGAUUCCACA